AGCACCUGCUUCUUGGACGUUUCCUCCCUAGACUUGGCGGUGCUUCGGCACCGCUUUUUUUUGCCCCGG
rnacentral:sRNA from 1 species